CCCUGCCAAAGCCAUAAACUAUCUCAGCGGAUAGACUAAAUACAGCUCUUUACAAAGGACAUGAAUCUCCCUAUUGGAUGUCUCGGCUCUAAGAGGGAGGGACGGAGGCUUAGCUGGUGCAACUCCACAUAGCUCCAGGGCAGCCAGGGAAGGCGCCCAAUUCCCACCAGCUGAUGAACUGGCCCCCAGGAGAAAGCCCAGGGUAGGAGACGAAAGGCUGUGGAUUCCUCCUAUAUAGACACCUGAUCUGCGGAAGGGAGGAGAGGCUGAACCGGAGCUUACGCUCUGAGCCUAGAGACUGACCCCUGUCAUCAGUGGCAUUGCCUCCCUCGAGGAAAUACUUGACUUGGAAAAGCAGAAAGAAGAGAGAGCUGCAGACAAAACACCUAUUGUUAGUGAGAGCAGCCUGUUGAGACGUUGUGGCAGAAAAUGCUUACAAAGCAGAUAUUGAUCCAUCUCACAGGUGAAAGGUAUAAUUAGGCAUGCAGUCAAGGCCUGCAAGAUCCAAGACAAGAUCUUCUGAUGAAGGAAGGCCCUUGAUACGUCAAAGGGUGCAGGAAGCACAUGUAUGAAAUCAAUAGAGUGCAUCAGAGCUGAUAAUAAUGACAGAAGAUUGAUUAUACUGCAAAUGAUAGAACGAUUCCCUGGGAAGGGGAAACUACAUGUGGAAGAAAUUAUUUUUAUCUUCCUCUUUAGAACAAGCAAAGCUGAAUUUUUGUACAUUUCUGUGAGUUGAGCGAAGCACAGAAGGAUUCUGCGGGACACAUCAACCGUGUUGUUCCCCUGUCCUGGGAGAUGGAAGGUCUGGCAGACAGCUGAUUGAUCAGGGGACAAAUGAACAUCAGCUGACCUCCCCAAGGUCCACUAACCAGGCUGUGAGCGCACUCUGAGCAGUUUCGCUAGCUGACAGAACAACCUGGCAAUGCUGGCAAGGAGUUAUUCAGAAUAAAACGUAAACUUCUGAGUAAGCCA
rnacentral:lncRNA from 1 species